rnacentral:tRNA from 1 species
AUAGGAGGGUGAUGCUUUAACCACUAAGCUACCCAGAC